AACUACAAGGAUUCCCCCAGUAACUGCGAGUGAAGAGGGAAGAGCUCAUCAUUGGAAUCAGGCAGGGUUGAUUCUCUGUCCGAGUUGUAGAUGAGACGAGUAGGUCAUCUGGACUGCAUGGCACUCAAGUACGAUACUACCCGUCAGUGGGACAUCAUAGAGGGUGACAAUCCCGUCUUUGGUGCUGAUGUUCGAGUCCUUUACGAUGCCUAUCUCAGGAGAGUCGAGUAGUUUGGGAUUUGCUGCUUGAACAUGGGAGGUAGACACCUUCUAAAGCUAAAUAUUGGCAAGAGACCGAUAGUGGACAAGUACCGCAAGGGAAAGAUGAAAUAGCACUCUGUAAAGGGAGUCAAAAGGCGUGAAAUUGUUGCGAGAGAAGCGAUUCAAGUCAGCUUGACUAGGCCCAUGAUGACAUCCGUCCUCUGGACUAGUCUCGCCAGCGGUCUCAUCUUAUUACGGUUUGACUAAGGUGCGGUACAUCCUCAACGCACGGCUGGUGGAAUGGCUUGCAAUCGACCCGUCUUGAAACACGGACCAAGGAGUCUAACAUGCAUGCAAGUAUAAGGGUGACAAACCCGUAUGCGCAAUGAAAGUGACUUUCAGUGAUUGUUGUGUGGCUUGACGACCAGACAGGAAAUAUCAUGUCCCUCGGAUGGCCACUGCCCAAGUUCUGUGGUACGAACCCAUGAACAUGGAGACGGAGCAUGCAUGCUAGGACCCGAAAGAUGGUGAACUAUGCCUGGACAGAGCGAAGCCAAAGGAAACUCUGGUGGAGGCUCGUAGCGAUUCUGACGUGCAAAUCGAUCGUCUGAUCUGGGUAUAGGGGCGAAAGACUAAUCGAACCAUCUCAUAGCUGGUGCUGACGAGU
rnacentral:rRNA from 1 species